rnacentral:rRNA from 1 species
CCCCUCGAUGUCCUGGGCUGCACGCGCGCUACACUGAUUUGUUCACUUUGUUGGGUUGCUUGUGAAAGUUGCCGAAGCACUGAGAGCAAACCGUGACUGGAAUUGACGAUUGCAAUUAUUCGUCAUGAACGAGGAAUUCCUUGUAAACGCGCGUCACCAACGCGUAUUGAAUACGUCCCUGCGAUUUGUACACACCGCCCGUCGCUGGAACCGACGAGUUUGGUGUUGAGCUUUUUGGAAUAUGAUCAUUUUGGUCGUGUAAAGAAACGCAAAAUGCCUGGCUUGGAGGAUCCAAAAGUCGUAACA